UAACACGUAAAGAACCUGCCUCAUAGACUGGGACAACUAUUGGAAACGAUAGCUAAUACCGGAUAACAGCAUUAACUGCAUGGUUGAUGUUUAAAAGUUGGUUUUGCUAACACUAUGAGAUGGCUUUACGGUGCAUUAGCUAGUUGGUGGGGUAAAGGCCUACCAAGGCGACGAUGCAUAGCCGACCUGAGAGGGUGAUCGGCCACACUGGGACUGAGACGCGGCCCAG
rnacentral:rRNA from 1 species